rnacentral:lncRNA from 1 species
UUUGUUGUCUGAAAUGGGUCUAGCUAUGUUUGGUAGCUCUUUAAAAAAUGUCAGUUUUAUAAAGAAUAUAUAGGGAAAACUAUCUACCUGUUUGUGACCUAUAUACAAAUAAAAGUAAUUACGAAUUGCAUAGCCAUACUUUUUUGGCUUAUCGGGGUGACUUAUUUUAAGAUCUGUUUUGUAAUCGUCAUUAAGAACUGGUCAAAACGUACGUGCUUUAAUUAAACAUUAAUAUCUUAUAUAGAAAAUUCAAAUGGGUUGAAUAUAACUUAAUUGUUUUUUAAAAAAACUUAAAUCUUCGGAAUCACGUUUAAACAGGUGUGAGGAAGAAAAACUACCCUGACACCGGUUCUGCAAACAGGUGCAUGGAAAAGUCUACCCUGACACCGAUUUCAAUAAACAGGUGCGUGGAGAAACCUAUCGUGACACCGGUUUUAACUCUCUACAGAUUGCCAUUUACAUUAAAUUGCAGAAACGGAGCACAAAAUUUACAUUUAAAAUGCCAGCGAGGCAAUUGUAUGCUUUAAUGUCAACAUAGAUCAAUUUCCAUCAUUGUAAACCUCACAUUCUGACUGUUUUCAUGUGUCUUACAAUACUAAAUAUGUUUAAACUAGUGAACAUUACGGUAUAAUCGUUCUCACAGGUCUCAGAACGCUUAAUGAUUUGAUGUUGAAAUAUACUGAUAACAAUAAUUACAAAUGUAAACAAUAGCAUAGGUAUUCUGUUCUCAACAGAAAUAAAGAAAAAAUGUUACUUUGAGGUCGUAUCUUAAUUUUUUCUACUAACCUUUUACUCUGCAGAAAAUAUAGCUCUAUGCAUGAGGAAUGUAACCAAAACCCAGUAAUUGUAAUAACAUAUGUAUGAUCAAGAACUAUAAUCGAAGAUAUUUACAAAAACAAUACAGUGUAUAUGUAUAUACACCUUGGUGAAGUCAUUUUGAAUUAUCAACGUUAUCGUAUAGCGCUACUUUAUCUUAGCAAUCUGUUGUGUAUCAUUUUUAUGCUAUAGAUUAGCAUGUUAUUCUCAAAGGUAGGACCUUUGCGUAAGUCCUUAAACAAUUGUCGAGCAGCUAAGGCCUAACAGAAUUUUUAAUCAGACCUUGCAUCAUAUCAUUUUUACUUUUUUCACUCUCAGCCAUGUAACUUAAUAUCAUUUGCAAACAUUUUUGUUUGUCAUCAUCUUCAUGUUUGAUUACAGGACUAGAUGUCAUUGUGUGUCUUGUUACACUUUCAAUAACCAUAUUACUUUGAUUAUUUUCAGACUCUUUGACAAAGACUGUGUAUCCAUGUCAUCAGUCUCUAUGGAUAGAUCAGAAUGCGAAGCACUUGAUUCCAUGCGGUAUUCAUUAUCACGUAUCAGAAACGUCAGAUUCAUCAUUACUGCUUGAGCUAGAAUCAUCGGAAGGUAUUGCAUAAUUAACCCUCCGUCGUGGAUAACCUUUAACAGCUUUGCGUUCGGGCCAUUCAGCAAUGUCAGCAAGCCUAAUCUGAUCUGCAUGCACUUGAACAACUGAGUUGUCAAGCUGAUUCUUAAUUAGAUUCCGGCGGUCGUGAAAAGAAAUCAGCAAUAAUAUUUGCUUUUCCUGGAAGAUACUCUAUCUUACAGUUGUAACCACUCAGAGCAUAGACAAUGCCCAUAACUGAAUUUUCUUGUUUUGCAUGGGAGAAUUUAAUAAAUAUUGAAGCGGGGCAUGGUCAGACUUGAUUGUAAAUUCAGCGUUGUGUACAAAAAUCUAGACCUUGUAAUGCAUAAAUGAUUUCAAAUGCCUCCUUCACAGUAGUGCUGUAUUUCCUUUGAGUAUCACUUAGUUUAUGAGACAGAAAAUAUAUAGGUCUUUCUUUAUUUUCAUCUGAUUCUGGUGAAUUACAGGCUUGUGUGUUUGUUUGUUUGUUUGUUUGUUUGUAACAGGUUUGACGCCGUUUUUCAA